GACGAACGCUGGCGGCGUGCCUAAUACAUGCAAGUCGAACGCAGUGGGGACGGGUGAGUAACACGUGGGUAACCUCCCCUCUGAGGGGAUAACACUUGGAAAAAGGUGCUAAACUGAUACUGAUGGAUGGACUCGCGGGGCAUUAGCGAGUUGGUGGGGUAACGGCUCACCAAGGCCACGAUGCAUAGCCGACCUGAGAGGGUGAUCGGCCACACUGGAACUGAAACACGGCCCAGACUCCUACGGGAGGCAGCAGUGGGGAAUCUUCGGCGAUGGACGAAAGUCUGACCGGGCAACGCCGCGUGAGUGAAGAAGGUUUUCGGAUCGUAAAGCUCUGUUGUUAGAGAAGCGGUAUCUAACCAGAAAGCCACGGCUAACUACGUGCCAGCAGCCGCGGUAAUAC
rnacentral:rRNA from 1 species